rnacentral:rRNA from 1 species
GACGAACGCUGGCGGCGUGCCUAAUACAUGCAAGUUGAGCGAUGAAGAUUGGUGCUUGCACCAAUUUGAAGAGCAGCGAACGGGUGAGUAACGCGUGGGGAAUCUGCCUUUGAGCGGGGGACAACAUUUGGAAACGAAUGCUAAUACCGCAUAACAACUUUAAACAUAAGUUUUAAGUUUGAAAGAUGCAAUUGCAUCACUCAAAGAUGAUCCCGCGUUGUAUUAGCUAGUUGGUGAGGUAAAGGCUCACCAAGGCGAUGGUACAUAGCCGACCUGAGAGGGUGAUCGGCCACAUUGGGACUGAGACACGGCCCAAACUCCUACGGGAGGCAGCAGUAGGGAAUCUUCGGCAAUGGACGAAAGUCUGACCGAGCAACGCCGCGUGAGUGAAGAAGGUUUUCGGAUCGUAAAACUCUGUUGGUAGAGAAGAACGUUGGUGAGAGUGGAAAGCUCAUCAAGUGACGGUAACUACCCAGAAAGGGACGGCUAACUACGUG